AGCACGCGUCACACGCGCCUCUUCCUCUUCCGACUCGCUUUCUCAGAGGAUGGAGGUGAGUGCAACACAAUCCUGUAACAUCGAAGAUCGUAUGCGGUGUUUUAACAGCUAGGUUUCAUAAGAAGUUUGUUUGGGUGUUACAGCACUAGAUCGUUAGUGACUCUCGGGCGUCCAGCGCAGGAUGAGUGUUUACGGAGGUCAGAAGUAAGCGGGUGCAGUGUGUAACCGCGGUCGGCCUUCCAGUCUUUAAAUAUUAAAAAUGACUUUUGCAAACAGUUAUAAGGUUCUGAAUGCACUCUUGGGUUUGUGAGUGCAACAUUGUUUGCAGAGUAGUGUCCAAAAUCGACGCUAUUUUAGUCCAUGUAAAUUUUUUUUUUGCAUUGGUUGUUCAAGGGGUCUAGAUUGAGUUUGUAUAUAAUGUGGAAAUAGGCUAGAUGUACCAAAAUGCCAAGUCUAGCCUUGGAUACAAUAUGUAGUCAGUUGUGCCUCAUUUUUAUUUUUUAUAUAUGCCAUUGCUGGUUACAGAUGUAAGGCUAUUUCUGGUGUGAAUCCGUGGAUGUCUCCCUGAUCUCCUCAUGUUUCUUCCUGCUCUCCAGGUGCUUGCCGGAGUGAAUACUGGGUCACCACGUGGCUCCGCCGCCUCACUAGUGCAGAGGUAUUGCUUCAACUUUAACUGUGUAACGUUACAGUAAACUGCACAUUUUCAUGGGAGCUAAUGAACGUUUGGCCCAUUUAAAACCAAUUAAAUUUGUGCAUGUGAAGUUAAUAAUGGUAAGACUGAAGUCGUGGCCCUGAUCGAAGUCGUUCCCGUUCUUCUAUAACGGGUCCGGUCAAACAGGAGCCGAAAGCAACACUUUUACCGACGGUCGCUGUACGGUUCACCUGUAGCUGUCCCAGCAACAUUAAGGAAAAGGACAACCGAAACGUGUCUUCACGGAUGCCUGGCUUGAAGUAGCCCUGCCUAAUGUUGGCGGGUUCUCUUCCCUGCAGGUCGGAUGAUGCCAAAUGAGACGUCCCAUCAUCAAAAUACUGCUCGAGAUGUCCCAAGUGAGCCUUCUCUAAGAGGUUCAGCAUCUGUAGUGGGGUUUUCACGGUUCCUGAGACUGCUCCAGGUUCUCCGACAGCGUGCUGAAUCAACGGGCAGACUUGCAGGUCUUCAGCAGCUCCUGACCAGCAAGUGGAAGUUGUAAAAUGAGUGACGCAAGUUCAACCUAAUAUGAAAGUGUGGAUUGGUCUUUCAUAUCCUGUUCAUGGUCCUUUGUUUGUUGGAUCAACUCUGUAAAAUAAAGACUUGCUACCAGAAUUUGCAUUGUUGCUUUUUAAUGUCUCUUUAAACUCUUACCGGUUAUG
rnacentral:lncRNA from 1 species